rnacentral:rRNA from 1 species
AUGAACGCUAGCGACAGGCUUAACACAUGCAAGUCGAGGGGCAGCGGGAAGGUUAGCUUGCUAACCUUUGCUGGCGACCGGCGCACGGGUGAGUAACACGUAUGCAACCUGUCCGGUACAGGGGGAUAAGCGGCGGAAACGCCGUCUAAUACCGCGUGACAACCCGAGGGGGCAUCCCCUUGGGUUCAAAGGAGAGAUCCGGUACCGGCUGGGCAUGCGGCGCAUUAGCUAGUUGGCGGGGCAACGGCCCACCAAGGCGACGAUGCGUAGGGGUUCUGAGAGGAAGGUCCCCCACACUGGAACUGAGACACGGUCCAGACUCCUACGGGAGGCAGCAGUGAGGAAUAUUGGUCAAUGGGCGCAAGCCUGAACCAGCCAAGUCGCGUGAGGGAAGACGGCCCUACGGGUUGUAAACCUCUUUUGCCGGGGAGCAAGCCUGAGCACGUGUGCCCAGGCGGAGAGUACCCGGAGAAAAAGCAUCGGCUAACUCCGUGCCAGCAGCCGCGGUAAUACGGAGGAUGCGAGCGUUAUCCGGAUUUAUUGGGUUUAAAGGGUGCGCAGGCGGGCUGUUAAGCCGGCGGUAAAAAUUCAGGGCUCAACCCUGUCGAGCCGUCGGAACUGGCAGUCUUGAGUGGGCGAGAAGUAUGCGGAAUGCGUGGUGUAGCGGUGAAAUGCAUAGAUAUCACGCAGAACGCCGAUUGCGAAGGCAGCAUACCGGCGCCCAACUGACGCUGAGGCACGAAAGCGUGGGGAUCGAACAGGAUUAGAUACCCUGGUAGUCCACGCAGUAAAC